rnacentral:rRNA from 1 species
UACGUAGGGGGCAAGCGUUGUCCGGAUUUAUUGGGCGUAAAGAGCUCGUAGGCGGUUCCGUGAGUCGGCUGUGAAAUCUCCACGCUCAACGUGGAGGGGUCAGUCGAUACUGCGGUGACUCGAGUCCGGUAGGGGAGUGUGGAAUUCCCGGUGUAGCGGUGAAAUGCGCAGAGAUCGGGAGGAACACCCGUAGCGAAGGCGGCACUCUGGGCCGGUACUGACGCUGAGGAGCGAAAGCGUGGGUAGCAAACAGG